rnacentral:misc_RNA from 1 species
AAGCUGAGAUCUUCGUCGUCGUCGUCAUCGGCGCCGGUGCCGGCGAGUGAUGGAGUGAGUAGGACGGAGAAGAUGAGGAGGGAAGAGAGAAAAAGGAGAAGAAUGAGUCGACUGGUCAUUUUGUGAGUCAGUGACGAGUUGACUGAGAUCGAUGAGAUUUCUAUUACUGAAGAGAGAUCCGACAGAGUCUUCAGCUUAGACUGUGUUCACAUUU